AGGACGAACGCUGGCGGCGUGCCUAAUACAUGCAAGUCGAACGGUCUUUCUAUGGAAGCUUGCUUCCACUGAGAAGAUAGUGGCGAACGGGUGAGUAACACGUGGGUAACCUGCCCAUAAGAGGGGGAUAACAUCCGGAAACGGGUGCUAAUACCGCAUAGUUUUCUUGAUCGCAUGAUCGGGAAAGGAAGACGGCCUUUGUGCUGUCGCUUAUGGAUGGACCCGCGGCGUAUUAGUUAGUUGGUGAGGUAAUGGCUCACCAAGACGAUGAUACGUAGCCGACCUGAGAGGGUGAUCGGCCACAUUGGGACUGAGACACGGCCCAAACUCCUACGGGAGGCAGCAGUAGGGAAUCUUCCGCAAUGGACGAAAGUCUGACGGAGCAACGCCGCGUGAGUGAAGAAAGGUUUUCGGAUCGUAAAACUCUGUUGUCAGAGAAGAACAAGUUGGAGAGUAACUGCUCCAGCCUUGACGGUAUCUGACCAGAAAGCCACGGCUAACUACGUGCCAGCCGCGGC
rnacentral:rRNA from 1 species